AAACUGGAUAAAGAUCAGUGCUACGGAAGGAUUUGCAAAGAACGCCAUGUAAGAUUUGAGAAGUGAGCGAUGAAGCAACUUUGUGAACUCAUUGCACCGAUACGAUAGAUUGCUCGAUGCAGAGGUCAGCCAGUGGUCACUUGCAUUCCUACAGAAUCAGGGUAUCUUCAGCCUCUAAUAGAUAACGGUACUGCAAACAGCGAAUUACUCCAUUUUGGACUUUGAGCUUGUGAACACAGAAGGGACCAGCACUGUGAACAUGGACAGAUCAGUAGGAGACUCACCUAAAGCUACUAUACCAUCUGUCAUUGAAGAAGAGGUGGUUGCAGAAGGAAAAUGGGUAAAACUUGAAAAGACAACCUACACUGACCCUUCUGGCAAAACAAGGACCUGGGAAACAGUGAAGAGGACAACUAAAAAGCAUACUUCUUCAGCUGAUGGUGUUGCAAUAUUUGCUGUUUUAAACAGAACUCUCCACUAUGAUUGCCUUGUAAUGGUAAAACAGUUUAGACCACCAAUGGGCUGCUACUGCCUUGAGUUCCCAGCAGGCCUCAUUGAUGAUAAUGAAAGUGCAGAGGAUGCUGCUUUGAGGGAACUACUGGAAGAGACUGGAUACAAAGGAGAGGUGGUUGGGGUUUCUCCAGCCAUUUGUCUAGAUCCUGGUUUGACAAAUUGCACAACCCACAUUGUGAAGGUCAAUAUUAAUGGAGAUGAUCCUGAAAAUAUCAAACCCAAACAAAAGCUUGAUGAUGGAGGUAUGUUUUCUUGUGUUAUGCAUGCCCAUGGAAAACCUAAUUUUUAUUUACUUAUUCACAUCUGAGCACUACUUCUGUUCAUUAUAUGUAUGUUUGCUUGCAGAAUUUGUGGAGGUAGUUCUAGUUCCUCUAAAUGAAUUGCAGAAGAAAAUUGAUGAAAUGGUGAAGAAUGAAAAUGUGGUGGUGGAUGCAAGAGUUUACAUCUAUGCCAUGGGGAGGACACAUGCAAAAUCAAAGCCAACUGAACUGCCAGUUCUGAAAUCCUGAAUAUAAGUCGACAUUCCUCUUUUACAUAUUUGUAAUGGAUCCAAAUAAAGCUCUUUGGCAUGUUUUAACACAACUCAGAGAAAACAAAUAAACCUUGCCACAAUUCCAGAAUUAAAACUGCCUGUUAAGAUUACGGUUGCUUAUAUGGCAUUUUUAGGUUUUCACUAUACCCAGCAAAACAUACAUACAUAUAUACAUUAUAUAUAUAUACACACACUGCUGUGCAGAAGUCUUAGACAUGUUGCACAUUUUUCUACUCUGAUGCAUUAUGAGCGUUAACAAUUUAAUCAAAACAUCCACUAGUGGUUUCUACUAUUAUAACAACCUUGACUUGCAUAAAGAAGGAAAAACAUUAAGUGAAAUAGCUUGCAUCACUCGAUUUUCAAGGUGUGGUAUCUGAAGCAUAAUCAACAAGUACAGAGAAACAUCAUCUGUAAUUGACAAACCCAGGACUGGAAGACCCAAAAAGCUGUCUAACAAGGAUGAGCAAUACUUGAAGAUAAUAUCCUUAAGAAAUAGAAAGAAGACAAGCGUUGAAUUUACAACAGAACUGGCAAAAGGCACAGGUGUCGUUGUUCAUCAAAUCAACAGUACAUAGGUCACUCUUGAAAUCAGGACUUAAAGAUGCGUUGCAGUAAGAAUAUUUCUGUUAAGGGAACAAGACAAAGGCUCAGAUAUGCACAAGAACAGAAAUUGGACUAUGGAACAAUGGUCAAAGGUGCUUUGGACUGUUGAUGGAUGGACAAAGACACCUGUGCCUUCUGCCAGUUCUGUUGUCCCUCAUAGAUCCAAAUCAGUCUUUUGAAAAAGAUGUGUGGAAUGCUAUUGGUUUGGGAUAGUCUGUUACCAUUUAUGUAUUUGUCCUUAUCCAUUACAGGCAUGCCAUGCAGGGUUAAAAUCAUCAUGUCACACAAACAAGCCAAUCAGUGUCAAGUGUUAGAAAUUUGAAAUUACCACGUCUGACCAUCAUGUGUGUAAAUAGAAGAGAAAAGUUUAAGACUUUCUUUUUGUGAAUGCAAUGUUUUUACACUAUAAACUUACUUUCCAAUUGUAUAGAAGUGGAUUAUCCCAAUGAAUGAUUACCCCCCUUAACAGCAACAAUUUUGAUAAUUACAAACAUUUUUAAUUCAUAAACAAAAUGUAAUAUGUAACUGACUUAAUAACACCAUAUCUUACCCAUGCAUUCUUCAGUCAUAACUUUUGCACAAGUUAUUAAACAGUUGUUUAUUGUU